rnacentral:rRNA from 1 species
GCGUAGUCGAUGGGAAACGGGUUAAUAUUCCCGUACUUGGUGUUACUGCGAAGGGGGGACGGAGAAGGCUAUGUUGGCCGGGCGACGGUUGUCCCGGUUUAAGCGUGUAGGUGUGUGUUCCAGGUAAAUCCGGUUCACUUUAACACUGAGGCGUGACGACGAGGCACUACGGUGCUGAAGCAACAAAUGCCCUGCUUCCAGGAAAAGCCUCUAAGCAUCAGGUAACACGAAAUCGUACCCCAAACCGACACAGGUGGUCAGGUAGAGAAUACCAAGGCGCUUGAGAGAACUCGGGUGAAGGAACUAGGCAAAAUGGUGCCGUAACUUCGGGAGAAGGCACGCUGACACGUAGGUGAAGUGAUUUACUCAUGGAGCUGAAGUCAGUCGAAGAUACCAGCUGGCUGCAACUGUUUAUUAAAAACACAGCACUGUGCAAACACGAAAGUGGACGUAUACGGUGUGACGCCUGCCCGGUGCCGGAA